ensembl:lncRNA
ACAACACAGAGACAGCAACAGAAGAAUGGGUGAUGGAGAAAGACACCCCAGACAAGACAUAGAGACCGGAACAGAAGAGGAGAGACACAUCGCACAAGACAGAGACAGCAACAGAAGAAUAGGUGAUGGAGAAAGACACCCCAGACAAGACAAAGAGACCGGAACAGAAGAGGAGAGACACAUCGGACAAGACAGAGACAGAGACAGCAACAGAAGAAUAGGUGAUGGAGAAAGACACACCAGACAAGACAUAGAGACCGGAACAGAAGAGGAGAGACACAUCGGACAAGACAGAGACAGAGACAGCAACAGAAGAAUAGGUGAUGGAGAAAGACACCCCAGACAAGACAUAGAGACCAGAACAGAAGAGGAGAGACACAUCGGAC